rnacentral:rRNA from 1 species
AGUGAACGCUGGCGGUAGGCCUAACACAUGCAAGUCGAACGGCAGCACAGUAAGAGCUUGCUCUUACGGGUGGCGAGUGGCGGACGGGUGAGGAAUACAUCGGAAUCUACUUUUUCGUGGGGGAUAACGUAGGGAAACUUACGCUAAUACCGCAUACGACCUACGGGUGAAAGCAGGGGAUCUUCGGACCUUGCGCGAUUGAAUGAGCCGAUGUCGGAUUAGCUGGUUGGCGGGGUAAAGGCCCACCAAGGCGACGAUCCGUAGCUGGUCUGAGAGGAUGAUCAGCCACACUGGAACUGAGACACGGUCCAGACUCCUACGGGAGGCAGCAGUGGGGAAUAUUGGACAAUGGGCGCAAGCCUGAUCCAGCCAUACCGCGUGGGUGAAGAAGGCCUUCGGGUUGUAAAGCCCUUUUGUUGGGAAAGAAAAGCAGCAGGUUAAUACCCCGCUGUUCUGACGGUACCCAAAGAAUAAGCACCGGCUAACCUCGUG